rnacentral:misc_RNA from 1 species
GCUAUAAUUUUCUAUUGAAAUUUAAUACAAAAUUUGAUUAUUUUACAUUGCAUUAUAGCUUGCCAAACAUAGCCUAAGUUCCAUUGUAUUGGGGGAGGCAACAGAAAAUUCCAUUUUAAAAUGGCUUAAGACCUAUGCCGAAGGAAUGAGUGCAACAAGACCCCAAGCCACUUCAUUAACAUAUAAAGAGCUUUGCUCAAUUCAAUCAAUGGCAUUGUGCAUCACUCUUGUUCAUCAAGUGUUUUGUUCACUUUGUAUAGGAUUAACUACCUAUAUAAAGCAACUAACAUAUAAAAGAAAAGAGAGAGAAUCAAUGUGCUUUACUCAGUAGUAUUAGAGUAAUCUCCAAAGUUUUGAGUUCUCGAGUUUGAACUAAU